AGCAGGAUGGCCUAGUGAAUAGAGCAUGUGUCUGGGAGUCAGAAAGAGCUGCGUUCUAAUCCCAGUUCUGCUG
rnacentral:tRNA from 1 species